rnacentral:rRNA from 1 species
GACGGAGGGUGCAAGCGUUGUUCGGAUUUACUGGGCGUAAAGGGCGUGUAGGCGGUCGGCCAAGUCUGAUGUGAAAGCCCGAGGCUCAGCCUCGGAAGUGCGUCGGAAACUAGUCGGCUGGAGCGCGAUAGAGGAGGGUGGAAUUCCUGGUGUAGCGGUGAAAUGCGUAGAUAUCAGGAGGAACACCGGCGGCGAAGGCGGCCGUCUGGAUCGUUGCUGACGCUGAGACGCGAAAGCGUGGGGAGCAAACAGG